rnacentral:misc_RNA from 1 species
GAUGAAGAACGUAGCGAAAUGCGAUAAGUAAUGUGAAUUGCAGAAUUCAGUGAAUCAUCGAAUCUUUGAACGCACAUUGCGCCCGCCAGUAUUCUGGCGGGCAUGCCUGUCCGAGCGUCAUUUCAACCCUCGAACCCCUCCGGGGGGUCGGCGUUGGGGAUCGGCCCUUUACGGGGCCGGCCCCGAAAUACAGUGGCGGUCUCGCCGCAGCCUCUCCUGCGCAGUAGUUUGCACACUCGCAUCGGGAGCGCGGCGCGUCCACAGCCGUUAAACACCCCAAACUUCUGAAAUGUUGACCUCGGAUCAGGUAGGAAUACCCGCUGAACUUAAGCAUAUCAAUAAGCGAGGA